CUCACGUUGGCAUCCAAGAACCUACCGCAAGUAUGGUAGCUCAAUGACACGCUCAAUGACACGCUGUAUUAGUGUUGCUCUUCACAGCUCCGUCGGGGUGAGCACGACACCCCUCACAAUCAUUUCUUCGGAGCACCGCACAAUCUUCUUUGCGUGCUUCAAUAAAGACUACCACCAAGCCAUCUAAGAGAUGGCAACCUCCAAGAGUAAUAAGCACCACCGGCUUGCAACUCGAUCACCUAGUGCC
rnacentral:lncRNA from 1 species